rnacentral:rRNA from 1 species
UACGUAGGGUGCAAGCGUUGUCCGGAAUUAUUGGGCGUAAAGAGCUCGUAGGCGGUCUGUCGCGUCUGCUGUGAAAACUCAGGGCUUAACCCUGAGCUUGCAGUGGGUACGGGCAGACUAGAGUGCGGCAGGGGAGACUGGAAUUCCUGGUGUAGCGGUGAAAUGCGCAGAUAUCAGGAGGAACACCGGUGGCGAAGGCGGGGUCUCUGGGCCGUAACUGACG